rnacentral:rRNA from 1 species
UACGGAGGGUGCAAGCAUUAAUCGGAUUUAUUGGGCGUAAAGGGCGCGUAGGCGGGAAGAUAAGUCAGAUGUGAAAGCCCAGGGCUCAACCCUGGAACGGCAUUUGAAACUGUCUUUCUAGAGGGUAGGCGGAGAAAACAGAAUUCCACGUGUAGCGGUGAAAUGCGUAGAUAUGUGGAGGAAUACCGGUGGCGAAAGCGGUUUUCUAGCUUAUUCCUGACGCUAAUGCGCGAAAGCAAGGGGAGCAAACAGG